AUGCUAAGCAUGAGCAGAGCAUCUCUGCGAAUGCGUUGCCUCUUCCAAAACUCUCGAAACUUUUUGGCUGUGCCUAAAAGUUUCGACGUCACAAGUAACCUGAGGACGUUUCUCUUCGAGAGAUGUUCCUCUACCCAUUUUUAACCAUCAUUACCUACUUUUAAACUCUUUAGACUGAUAUAAACAAACAUUUAUUAUAAAUGUGAAAA
rnacentral:misc_RNA from 1 species